rnacentral:tRNA from 1 species
CAAAUUAGAGCUUGAAAUUAAAGUAUUUCAUUUACAUUGAAAAGAUAUUAAUAUAUAAAUAAUUAAUUUGA